UUCCGUUUUGGGGACCUGGGGGGGGGUCCUUUCCGGGGUUUCCACUUCCCAACCCCCGGGGACCAUCCUUUUCGGUGCCUUGGGGGGUCCACCCCCCCCCCGGUAAAAAGGGACGGCCCGCCCGAGGACCCCUAAACUCUGUUUUUAGUGGAACUUCUGAGUAAAACAAACAAAUAAAUCAAAACUUUCAACAACGGAUCUCUUGGUUCUGGCAUCGAUGAAGAACGCAGCAAAAUGCGAUAAGUAAUGUGAAUUGCAGAAUUCAGUGAAUCAUCGAAUCUUUGAACGCACAUUGCGCCCGCCAGUAUUCUGGCGGGCAUGCCUGUUCGAGCGUCAUUUCAACCCUCAAGCUCAGCUUGGUGUUGGGACUCGCGGUAACCCGCGUUCCCCAAAUCGAUUGGCGGUCACGUCGAGCUUCCAUAGCGUAGUAAUCAUACACCUCGUUACUGGUAAUCGUCGCGGCCACGCCGUAAAACCCCAACUUCUGAAUGUGACCUCGGAUCAGGUAGAAUCCCAGAUUUUCA
rnacentral:rRNA from 1 species